rnacentral:rRNA from 1 species
AUUGAACGCUGGCGGCAGGCCUAACACAUGCAAGUCGAGCGGAUGAAGGGAGCUUGCUCCUGGAUUCAGCGGCGGACGGGUGAGUAAUGCCUAGGAAUCUGCCUGGUAGUGGGGGAUAACGUCCGGAAACGGGCGCUAAUACCGCAUACGUCCUGAGGGAGAAAGUGGGGGAUCUUCGGACCUCACGCUAUCAGAUGAGCCUAGGUCGGAUUAGCUAGUUGGUGGGGUAAAGGCCUACCAAGGCGACGAUCCGUAACUGGUCUGAGAGGAUGAUCAGUCACACUGGAACUGAGACACGGUCCAGACUCCUACGGGAGGCAGCAGUGGGGAAUAUUGGACAACGGGCGAAAGCCUGAUCCAGCCAUGCCGCGUGUGUGAAGAAGGUCUUCGGAUUGUAAAGCACUUUAAGUUGGGAGGAAGGGCAGUAAGUUAACACCUUGCUGUUUUGACGUUACCAACAGAAUAAGCACCGGCUAACUUCGUG